ensembl:lincRNA
CUACCAGCUCAAUUGAGUUCCCUCCCCCCCUCUCCCAGUAGGAUUGGGAGCUGUACUGAUUCUGGCAGGAGUGGAAAUUCUGGGAUUAGAUUUGUUAUUUUAGGGGAAAAUGUUUGUGUUAUUCCAGAGUAUUUUCUCACGGUGCAGCAGAAAGUGCGCCCUGAGGGAACACAGAGCUGUCUCCGUCGCCUCCCGGGCUGGCCUGGCUGCAGAAACGGAGGGGUGGGUGUUGAAGCACGAGGUGCGAAGAGAACAGCCGGACGGCACUCGCGUGCCAAUGGGCACGUGGACGGGAGCGGUGCCCAGGGGGGCGUGGCCGGACCGAGACCUCCCCCGGCGGCUCGUAAGAGAAACCCUUUACAACGAGAAAGACUCCUCUUGCUUCAAAACCAAUUCGGUUAUCUGCCGCGCACACACACUUACACUACUACGAGCCCUGCGCCUGCCUCGGCAAUGCAAGCACGGUCUGCUACCCUUUGGAUCCCCGCGCUGCCCUUCUGCAGACCUGGCCGGGCUGCGAUGAGGAACACAGAUGAGACUGCUGGGUCCGGGUGUGGAUCGCUGUCCUGCAUGUGCUGUCGUUAUCAUCCCAGAGCACAUUGGCAGAGCACCCACACAACCACAACCACAGAAACAGAGUCUGAAAAUAGUCUACAAUUCUGACAAGCUACGGUACAAAAGCACAUUUUAUAGGACAGAACAAAGCCUGGAGUGACUGUAUCCAGCUUUCACAUUCCUGUCAACAGGCAGUCCCAGUAAACACUUACUGCAGUAUUGCUGCGGUAUUAGUGUGAUGUGGUAUAAGCGAUGUGAUGUGGAACACAGUGAAUCCCGCAGCAUUUGAACAGGAGAAGCUGCAGAGGAGAGGUCAUUUAACAGCUAAUUCAUACGGAAAGAAUCCGGAGAUUAGGUCUCAACCACCUGGCUAGGAAGCCUGUUUCAGACACCCACAACUCUUUGUGUAAAGAAGCAUUUCCUAUUGUCCAUCCCACAUGCAUUCCUGUUUAGUCUGCAAUUGUGAACCGAUUAUAUGGUAAACAGGCGGUGUCCUGACUAUACUCUAAGAGCUUAUACAGUUGGAUCAAAUCUCCAACUGGCUCUCCAUUGUUUUAGACUAUGGAGUCUAAACUAUUGUUUUAGACUGAAGAAAUAUAGCUGUUUUUAUGCCUUCCCUAGAUUCCUAAAUUCCACACGUUUUUCGGCAUACCUGUCAUUGAGAGGUGUGGUAAAGGAUCCUACCAAUUAUGGGCAAAUGAAAAGUAAGUGAAGCUGUAGUUCAGUGAAAGAUAGCUGGGGAGCAAGUCUGGAGAAAAUCCACAAAUACAGCAGUGGAGUUUCAGAAAGUAAGCCAAGAAACACCUAGGACUCCCACUGCAGAGCAGGGAGAUCCACUCCAGGCUUUACCAGCUGCUCAGGGUAAUGUACAGUGCAUAGAUCAAUGUGUGUGUUUAUUUGGAGUCAGUUUAACAAGACACGUGGAAGUAACAUCUGUCACAUUGCUUUCCUUCUUCGUUUCUGCUCUUUACACAGGAAUGGGCAGCUCGCAAAAUGUGAAAUGGAGGUAAAUUCCAAUGUUAAACACAGAAUGGGAAUCUGAUUUGCAUCCCAGUGUUUCUAGACGGGAGUAAAAUCUGCUCAGUAUGUGGUAAUGCAGUUGUCGUAAGACCCAGUGACCUAACCUCGCACACACAUUGUGGUUCGAAGCUGCCUGGUCUGCACACUGUCCAGAUCCCGGCUCUUGGCGCGGAAGAGGGAGAAUCUGGGUCAGAGCAAAGCCACCCUCGUUCUCGUGAGCUGGGGGACGAAGCUUGAGAGAGCUCUGGCUCCCUGUGAGUUAAUCAAUAUACCAGGCCGGUCCCCCUGGCUGUGCCAGCUGGCAGAGAGGAGAGUUAGGGAAGAGGAGGGGUGGGGUGUGGGGGCUCUCCUUGGUCCCUGAAAGAAUGGCAAUAAUUUAUCUGGAGAAUCUGUGAUUCAUCUCUCAGCCCCGGGAGCCCCAGAGAAGAAAGAAAACAGCACAGACGGACCCCCCUCUCCCCCCCUCUCUCUAGUAAAGGCAGCGUGGGGGCAGGGGGUGCCGGAAUACGUUUGCGGACAUUCCUGAAAUGUAAGAUCCCAAGUGGCAACUCCAGUCUGGGAUUGCAUUCAUGGGGAAUGGCUCAAAGUUAAAAACACAGAACAAAAGUAAAAAACAGGAGUGUCUCUGGACGGGGAAAGGCACUAAGUAAACAAGCCAAGCGCAGUGCACUCCCCCGAUCGCUGACAGUUUCCUAACGUGCGCCCUGCCAGCGGGCUCUGAGGCCAUCGAGAGGGGCCUCUGCACCACAGACCCACAGACGAGCGAGCGAGGGUCCUGAACACCUCAGCCCGGGACCAGCCCUGCCCACACUGAGCGAGGGUCCUUAACGCCUCAGCCCGGGACCAGCCCUGCCCCACAGACCCACAGACGAGCAAGAGAGGGUCCUUAACGCCUCAGCCCGGGACCAGCCCUGCCCACAGCGAGCGAGGGUCCUGAACGCCUCAGCCCCGGACCAGCUCUGCCCACAGACCC